ACAAGGGCGGCUUGCUACCAUGCAAGUCGACGGGGAGUUACUUGUAACUCCUAGUGGCGAACGGGUGAGUAACGCGUAGACAACCUGCCUCUAAACUGGGGACAACACCACGAAAGUGGUGCUAAUACCGAAUGUGGUAUCUUGAUCGCAUGAUUGAGAUAAGAAAGAUGGCCUCUAUUUAUAAGCUAUCGAUUAGAGAUGGGUCUGCGUCUGAUUAGCUAGUUGGUGAGGUAACGGCUCACCAAGGCGACGAUCAGUAGCCGGUCUGAGAGGAUGAACGGCCACACUGGGACUGAGACACGGCCCAGACUCCUACGGGAGGCAGCAGUGGGGAAUCUUCCGCAAUGGACGAAAGUCUGACGGAGCAACGCCGCGUGAGUGAAGAAGGUUUUCGGACUGUAAAGCUCUGUCGUUUGGGACGAACGUGGGUAGAGUGAAUAAUUCUAUCUAAUGACGGUACCAAAGGAGGAAGCCACGGCUAACUACGUGCCAGCAGCCGCGGUAAUACGUAGGUGGCAAGCGUUGUCCGGAAUUAUUGGGCGUAAAGGGCGUGUAGGUGGAUCUUUAAGUCGUGUGUCUAAGUGCGGGGCUCAACCCCGUAUAGGCGCAGGAAACUGGGGAUCUUGAGUGCAGGAGAGGAAAGUGGAAUUCCCAGUGUAGCGGUGAAAUGCGUAGAUAUUGGGAGGAACACCAGUGGCGAAGGCGACUUUCUGGACUGUGUCUGACACUGAGGCGCGAAAGCUAGGGGAGCGAACGGGAUUAGAUACCCCGGUAGUCCUAGCCGUAAACGAUGGGUACUAGGUGUAGAGGGUAUCGACCC
rnacentral:rRNA from 1 species